rnacentral:rRNA from 1 species
CCUACGGGAGGCAGCAGUGGGGGAUAUUGCACAAUGGGGGAAACCCUGAUGCAGCGACGCCGCGUGAGUGAAGAAGUACUUCGGUAUGUAAAGCUCUAUCAGCAGGGAAGAAAAUGACAGUACCUGACCAAGAAGCCCCGGCGAACUACGAGCCAGCAGCCGCGGUAAUACGUAGGGGGCAAGCGUUAUCCGGAUUUACUGGGGGUAAAGGGAGCGUAGGCGGGUAUGUAAGUCUGGAGUGAAAGCCCGGGGCCCAACCCCGGGACCGCCUUGGAAAAUGUGUAACUGGAGUGCAGGAGGGGCAGGCGGAAUGCCUGGUGUAGCGGUGAAAUGCGUAGAUAUCAGGAGGAACACCGGCGGCGAAGGCGGCCUGCUGGACUGAAACUGACGUUGAGGCUCGAAAGCGUGGGGAGCAAACAGGAUUAGAUACCCGUGUAGUC